GUGGCCUCCGAGGCUUCUUGGCUGAGUCGAGGGUCCACUCUGAAGUACAUAGCCCAAUACCUUAGCUGAACCAAACUGUAAAGGACGGAGCUUUACAUCAGCGAUGUAUUUGGGGUCUAAAGCCUCACCUCCCAUCAAGCAGCGUUUAGCCAGAGCUUCUCUUCGAGCCCGGAGCUCAGCCACAGCACGUUGCAGUCGGCUCCUGCCAUACUGUUCUAUCCGCGCCCACAGACUACGGUUGAAGUGAAUAUAAAGAGCCCAAUCCAAGUUAUUCCAAGCUCGGGCCUGUUUGGCUAGCUGCUGAUCUUCACCAGUCACCACAGUCUUAUUGGCAGUUCUGAUAAGACUCUGCUUUUUUCCAGCCUGGGCAUUGUGCAUGAAGCCCACCACAUCGUCCAGACUCCAGCACAGGGCAUCUGCCAACAGAACCAGUGACUCAUCAAAGUACUCAGCCACCAUGACCAGGUCAAAGACUGAGUCCAACCAGGCCAGACCCCACUGGAUAAAGGAUGAGGGCCUAAAAUCUGAGGAGACAAGGCUGGCUGGCUGCUUGUAACUAUUAGCAGCUGUGGUAAUAGGAUGGAAGAGAGUUCCAGGGCUAGCACCGGAAGGUACAAUAUGUAGCUGGAGGGAUUUGGGGUCUCUGGGUAGCUGGGGACUCACUUUCAUGGUCUUUGUCUCUGGGGGGGAGGGCAAACCAAAGUCAAACCAUAGUAAGUUACGGGCGUAGUGGUUGCCACGGGCCCCGGGUCUGUAGAAGGCUUGAGGAUUGGACAGGAAGGCGGCCAAAGACGGUGCCUUUCGGAAAGCCGAUGAAACUGAUUUGUAAUAGGAGAAGGCAGAGCGGGCUAGAGCCGCUGGAUCUCGGACAAUGGAAAAGAAGAAGCUAUCAGAAGGCAUGACCUGAAGUACCUGCAGAGGAAAGAAAGAGAGGAAGAGCUUGACUGAGGAGAAAAUGAGGCCAAGCUGAGGCUCUGAUGAGCCGUGAGGCUCUGCUGUCCACCCCCAGCUUCCCCUACUAGCUGUGUGACCUUGGGGAAAUUACAUAGCACCUCUGAAAUUCAAUUUGCUGUCUGCAAAAGGAAAGUAGUCAGAAGUUCCCAGGUAAUUGAGGAGAAUACUCAAAAUAACAGCCAGUCAGAAAUCUGGAGCACAAGGCUCACACUGCUUAGUCAUGUCCUCGGGAUUUUGUGUUCUUUGUUGGUUGGGAAAAACUCUCAAACCUGGGGCUGGGAAGGUGGCUCAGUCAAUAAAGUGUGUGCCACACAAACG
ensembl:antisense 6330418K02Rik uncharacterized LOC110293988